rnacentral:rRNA from 1 species
ACGGAUCUCUUAAAGACUGUUCUCAGUUCGGACUGCAGUCUGCAACUCGACUGCACGAAGCUGGAAUCGCUAGUAAUCGCGGAUCAGCACGCCGCGGUGAAUACGUUCCCGGGCCUUGUACACACCGCCCGUCACACCAUGGAAGUCUGCAAUGCCCGAAGCCGGUGGCCUAACCACUUAUGUGGAAGGAGCCGUCUAAGGCAGGGCAGAUGACUGGGGUGAAGUCGUAACAAGGUAGC